rnacentral:rRNA from 1 species
GACGAACGCUGGCGGCGUGCUUAACACAUGCAAGUCGAACGGAAAGGCCCUGCUUUUGUGGGGUGCUCGAGUGGCGAACGGGUGAGUAACACGUGAGUAACCUGCCCUUGACUUUGGGAUAACUUCAGGAAACUGGGGCUAAUACCGGAUAGGAGCUCCUGUUGCAUGGUGGGGGUUGGAAAGUUUCGGCGGUUGGGGAUGGACUCGCGGCUUAUCAGCUUGUUGGUGGGGUAGUGGCUUACCAAGGCUUUGACGGGUAGCCGGCCUGAGAGGGUGACCGGCCACAUUGGGACUGAGAUACGGCCCAGACUCCUACGGGAGGCAGCAGUGGGGAAUAUUGCACAAUGAGCGGAAGCCUGAUGCAGCAACGCCGCGUGCGGGAUGACGGCCUUCGGGUUGUAAACCGCUUUCGCCUGUGACGAAGCGUGAGUGACGGUAAUGGGUAAAGAAGCACCGGCUAACUACGUG